rfam:Pristionchus pacificus strain PS312 contig544, whole genome shotgun sequence.
UCUUCAUUUCACACACUCUCUCACCGGUCAGACAGGCGAGAGUGUGAGUGAAAUGAAGAGA